ACCGGAUGUGUGGUUAGCCUAACUGUACUUUUUUUUUUUUUAAAUUAUGGUCCAGCCCUAUGGGCUCGAGUCACAACCACAACCAGCAGGACAACCACAGAUAACAGGAAAGAUGUUCUCAGAUUUUCCUCAAAUGGACCUGUGGCUCCUGUUGUUUUCUUAUCAUCAUUAGGUACUUUGAACAACUCAUUCAUCAGCUUUGCUAUCAUCUCAAUUGCUUCCAUGAAUUUUGCCUUUGUGUUUUCAAAUAUCCACUUCACAGCAUUCAAUACAGGAUUAGAGUCAUGGCCAGUCUUAUCUGAACUCUCGGUGGUUGAAGUUAUACUUUCGUCUGCAUAUAUCAUGGGAAGGCCACAGUAUUGCGUGCGAGAAAUUUAUCCAAAUAGUGAUAAAUGUCAUAAUAUAAUAAUUAUUCUUUCUAUUUGAAUAAAAAAAGGACAAAAACAAUUGCAUCAAGGACGAAUAACAAAAACAACAGAAGCUUGUUUAAUUGAUACUUAAUUUGGAAAACAUUAUCUUUUGAAACAAAUUUGUUGUAUACAUUCAAUAAGCACAGAGAGAGAAAAUCCUAUUUGAACGGUUUUUGCUAGCAAUUCUUUGUAGCUACGAAUCACAGAUAAUAAACUCUUAAUACAAAAUAGAACAGGGGGGAAUUUCUCAACGAUGUAAAUGCUUUCAUCAGAGACUAGGCCACAGUACAUUCAAGAUAACUAUCUGCCUUUCUGAAAGAAUUAAGAGAUAUGAUAAUAAAGCAUGGAUCUGAAAAACACAUCAAACAUGAAUUGAGUGCUGGCUAGAUAUUGUGAAGCAUUAAGGAUACCCAGCGGCCAGCGACAUUAUCAAGGACCAACCCUAACCCAAAACCAUUGGAAAGAUAAUGGUGAAUAAACAAAAAGGAAAAUUAAUCUCCUGACUUUGUGAUUUAUGAUAUGUGCAUCACCUUCUGCAUUUUAGAAGAUACAGGUUUAAAAACCCUCUUAUAUUUGGGAAACAUUCCAGUGAGGAACUCAAAAAGUGAAGCUCUAACAAAUUCAGGAAUGGCUUUGUAGACUAAAGAAUUGAGAUUCAAAGGCUCAAGUAUCAAAACAUGAACAUCAGUUGAUCC
rnacentral:misc_RNA from 1 species